rnacentral:lncRNA from 1 species
GGAGAGAAGCAACAUCAUAUUUUUGGAGAGAUGGCAUUUUUAGAGAGAAACACAAGGCAAGGUAGUUAAGAGUAGAUUCAACCCAAGAUUCAUUGAGACAUCAUGAAUCUUGUCAUGGAAUCUUCAUCUUUUCUUCAUCCUUUGCAAACUAUCAGAGACAUAUGUAGCUACAUCUACCCUUGUGGGUUUUGAGGUAUUCAAACAAGCCAUUACGU